rfam:Brachypodium distachyon strain Bd21 chromosome 3, whole genome shotgun sequence.
GUGCUACUCCCUCCGUCCCAUAUUAAGUGACUCAAAUUUGUCUAAAUAUGGAUGUAUGUAUGUACUAAAAUGCGUCUAGAUACAUGUAAAAGAAAGUGACUUAAUAUGGGACGGAGGGAAUACUAU